GACAGAGGAGCCAAGCGUUGUCCGGAUUUACUGGGCGUAAAGAGCGCGCAGGCGGCUGGUCAAGUCCGAUGUGAAAUCUCCCGGCUCAACUGGGAAACUGCAUCGGAAACUGAUCGGCUUGAAGAUGGGAGAGGGUAGUGGAAUUCCCGGUGUAGUGGUGAAAUGCGUAGAUAUCGGGAGGAACACCAGUGGCGAAGGCGACUACCUGGCCCAUUCUUGACGCUGAGGCGCGAAAGCUAGGGGAGCGAACGGG
rnacentral:rRNA from 1 species